ACGAACGCUGGCGGCGUGCUUAACACAUGCAAGUCGAACGGAAAGGCCCUGCUUUUGUGGGGUGCUCGAGUGGCGAACGGGUGAGUAACACGUGAGUAACCUGCCCUUGACUUGGGGAUAACUUCAGGAAACUGGGGCUAAUACCGGAUAGGAGCUCCUGCUGCAUGGUGGGGGUUGGAAAGUUUCGGCGGUUGGGGAUGGACUCGCGGCUUAUCAGCUUGUUGGUGGGGUAGUGGCUUACCAAGGCUUUGACAGGUAGCCGGCCUGAGAGGGUGACCGGCCACAUUGGGACUGAGAUACGGCCCAGACUCCUACGGGAGGCAGCAGUGGGGAAUAUUGCACAAUGGGCGGAAGCCUGAUGCAGCAACGCCGCGUGCGGGAUGACGGCCUUCGGGUUGUAAACCGCUUUCGCCUGUGACGAAGCGUGAGUGACGGUAAUGGGUAAAGAAGCACCGGCUAACUACGUG
rnacentral:rRNA from 1 species